AGGGUGGAGCACAACGUCGAAAGCAGCCGUUGGGAGCCCAGGAGGCGGGGCGCCUGUGGGAGCCGUGGAGGGAACUUUCCCAGUCCCCGAGGCGGAUCCGGUGUUGCAUCCUUGGAGCGAGCUGAGAGCUCGAGAACCUGCUAAGGCCAUCAAACCUAUUGAUCGGAAGUCAGUCCAUCAGAUUUGCUCUGGGCCGGUGGUACCGAGUCUAAGCACUGCGGUGAAGGAGUUAGUAGAAAACAGUCUGGAUGCUGGUGCCACUAAUAUUGAUCUAAAGCUUAAGGACUAUGGAGUGGAUCUCAUUGAAGUUUCAGGCAAUGGAUGUGGGGUAGAAGAAGAAAACUUCGAAGGCUUAACUCUGAAACAUCACACAUCUAAGAUUCAAGAGUUUGCCGACCUACCUCAGGUUGAAACUUUUGGCUUUCGGGGGGAAGCUCUGAGCUCACUUUGUGCACUGAGUGAUGUCACCAUUUCUACCUGCCAUGUAUCGGCGAAGGUUGGGACUCGACUGGUGUUUGAUCACUAUGGGAAAAUCAUCCAGAAAACCCCCUACCCCCACCCCAGAGGGAUGACAGUCAGUGUGAAGCAGUUAUUUUCUACGCUACCUGUGCACCAUAAAGAAUUUCAAAGGAAUAUUAAGAAGUGAGUGAGCGCUCAUGGGAUCUGGUUGUUUAGAAGCAUGCACCACCUCCCGCUUCACUCUCUCUGUCUCUCCUGCUCCACCAUGGCCAGAAACGUGCCUGCUUCCCCUUCGCCUUCUGCCGUGAUUGUCAGUUUCCUGAGGCCUCCCCAGCCAUGCUUCCUGUACAGCCUGCAGAACUGACUCCUAGAAGUACCCCACCCCACCCCUGCUCCUUGGAGGACAACGUGAUCACUGUAUUCAGCUCUGUCAAGAAUGGUCCAGGUUCUUCUAGAUGAUCUGCACAAAUGGCUCCUCUCCUCCUUCCUGAUGUCUGCCAUUAGCACUGGAAUAAAGUUCCUGCUGAAAAUCCACA
rnacentral:lncRNA from 1 species